CCUUUCUAAGGAUGAUCAAGAAUUGGAAGUCUUUGUAAAAAGCUCGUUCCUUUUUGAUCUGAUUAGACACCAAGGUUUAAACUAAGUCAGUUUAAACCUUAUGCAUAUGACACUAACUCUUCAUUAAUCCCUCUCUCACAAGAGAGCCCUCUUUAAAAGGGACCCCACUCUCUUGAGAUCCCUACCUCCGUGAGAAAGGAUCCAUGAGGGCUUAGUGCUCAUGUGUUAAGUUAUAUAAGCAGGCUAGCCGUCUUCGUUUCUCUUUCUUUAGAUGAUGAUCCCAAGCCUUCUGGCGAUCUCUUAUAAAUAAAGCUCCCGAUAGAUUUUAAAAAACAUAAAUUUUAGAGAAAAUGGGGGUAAGCAGUAUAAAAACGUCCUUAACAAAGUUUUUCUGCUUGAUAAGAUAAGGCCGGGGAAGGUUUUCCGGUUUAUCCCGGAGGGCUUGUAGCUCAGUUGGUUAGAGCGCGCGCUUGAUAAGCGUGAGGUCGGAGGUUCAAGUCCUCCCAGGCCCACCACUUUAUCCAUCCAUCUCUAAAUGUUUAUCAUGCUUUUAUGAGAAGAUUGCUAUAAAAGGAUUGUAGCGCUUAUCCGUUUGGCAGCUGUGAUAAGGUAAAGCAGUUCAAGGGAAAAGUAAUGCAAAUUUGCAUUUGCAUUGUAUAUUUAACAGAAAUGUAUAUUCAACAGAAAUCUCCUUACACAGUUUUAGCCUAUUUUCCAGUUUGCAAUCCUUCUAUCCUAUUUAGGGGCCGUAGCUCAGCUGGGAGAGCACCUGCUUUGCAAGCAGGGGGUCGUCGGUUCGAUCCCGUCCGGCUCCACCACUUUAGAUCAUCAUCAUUGUUGGAAGAACACGCUUUUGUGAGAGGUUUGUAACCUUUCACUUGUUCUAUUGAAAUUGUGAAGAGAAGAUAUAUUCAGACAUGUUUCUUUUGAGUAUUUGUUCUGAAGAGCAAAAUUUGUUCUAAGGAAGAUGCUUUUAAAAAAGAAAUAUUGUGUCGCAAGGGAAUGCUCAAAGUCCUUGCUUAUGAUUGGAAGCUUAACCGCGCCAUUGAAUAUAUCUCGAGAAGCUGGUCUUUUCUGCUGAUAUUUGUGUUUGUUUUGCGCUUUGUUUUGCACAAGGCAAAGAAUGCAGAC
rnacentral:tRNA from 1 species